rnacentral:rRNA from 1 species
UACGGAGGGUGCAAGCGUUAUCCGGAAUCACUGGGUUUAAAGGGUGCGUAGGCGGCCAUAAAAGUCAGAAGUGAAAUACCACGGCUUAACCGUUGGAAGUGCUUUUGAUACUGUAUGGCUUGAAUUGGGAUGAGGUAGGCGGAAUGUGACAUGUAGCGGUGAAAUGCAUAGAUAUGUCAUAGAACACCAAUUGCGAAGGCAGCUUACUAGACCUUAAUUGACGCUGAGGCACGAAAGCGUGGGGAGCGAACAGG